CGCGUGGGAAUCUGCCCUUGGGUUCGGAAUAACUCAGAGAAAUUUGAGCUAAUACCGGAUGAUGACGUAAGUCCAAAGAUUUAUCGCCCAAGGAUGAGCCCGCGUAAGAUUAGCUAGUUGGUGGGGUAAAGGCCUACCAAGGCGACGAUCUUUAGCUGGUCUGAGAGGAUGAUCAGCCACACUGGGACUGAGACACGGCCCAGACUCCUACGGGAGGCAGCAGUGGGGAAUAUUGGACAAUGGGCGAAAGCCUGAUCCAGCAAUGCCGCGUGAGUGAUGAAGGCCUUAGGGUUGUAAAGCUCUUUUACCAGGGAUGAUAAUGACAGUACCUGGAGAAUAAGCUCCGGCUAACUCCGUG
rnacentral:rRNA from 1 species